GACGAACGCUGGCGGCGUGCCUAAUACAUGCAAGUAGAACGCUGAAGGAGGAGCUUGCUCUUCUGGAUGAGUUGCGAACGGGUGAGUAACGCGUAGGUAACCUGCCUGGUAGCGGGGGAUAACUAUUGGAAACGAUAGCUAAUACCGCAUAACAGUAGAUGUUGCAUGACAUUUGCUUAAAAGGUGCAAUUGCACCACUACCAGAUGGACCUGCGUUGUAUUAGCUAGUUGGUGGGGUAACGGCUCACCAAGGCGACGAUACAUAGCCGACCUGAGAGGGUGAUCGGCCACACUGGGACUGAGACACGGCCCAGACUCCUACGGGAGUCAGCAGUAGGGAAUCUUCGGCAAUGGACGGAAGUCUGACCGAGCAACGCCGCGUGAGUGAAGAAGGUUUUCGGAUCGUAAAGCUCUGUUGUAAGAGAAGAACGAGUGUGAGAGUGGAAAGUUCACACUGUGACGGUAUCUUACCAGAAAGGGACGGCUAACUACGUG
rnacentral:rRNA from 1 species